UUAAUCUGCUUUGACUUUUUUCCCUAAGUACAAUGACUGUCAUCUAAUAAAUGCUUAAUAAAUGCUUUAUGAUGAUGAUCUCAUUUAAUCUCCAUGAUAAUCUUGUAAUACAGGUUUUAUCAUUAUUUUAAAAAUGAAGCAACUGAAUGUCAGGGAGGUGAAAUUAUUUCUCUGUGAUCAUGCAGGUAGUGAGUCUUCAAGGAGAGAUUUGAACCAUGAUCUCCCUGAUUCAAGCUUCAGCAUGCCAUGUUUUCUGGGACUGGGUCAAGGGUACUUAUUUAAAAGAAAAAAAAAUGGUAACUAUUUCAGUACAAUCCCUUUCCUUAGUGGUUCUAUAUAUUGUAUUGUAUUCAUUUAAAAAAAAUUCUGAGAAUAUACAUAGAGUUUGAUAGACUGCCAAAGAACUCCACAAAAUAAAAAAGGUUAAGACCUCCUGGAAGAGAUGACUUCUAAGAUACUUUUGAGUUUCAAAUCCAUGUCCCAGAUGGUUGGGCUUCUGACUUUCUGGACUUGCCACCACAGAAUUUGUCUCACUUUGGGUGGAUGCAGACUUUUUACCCAGGAACAUCCCUUCACCAUGUUAAUCCCCAUGUUCUGUUCAUUUCCUUUGGGAAUUCCAUUUUGCAGACAGGCUCACAGCAGGUAUGCUUUGUUACCUUCUGAGCUGUGUUUUUGAUCUGACUUUUUAGAAAUUAAAGAACCUAAUUCAACAGCCUUCUUCUUCUAAAAUAUACCUUAGGUUUGCCAGUUGAUAAAUGGUCAAACAGACAAUUUUCAGAUGAAGAAAUUAAAGCCGUCUAUAGUUAUAUGAAAAAAUGCUCUAAAUCAAUUGACAAUUGAUUAGAGAAAUGCAAAUUAAUCCACUUCUGAGAUACCACCCCAUAUCUCUCAGAUUGGCUUAGAUGACAGGAAAAGAUAAUGGUAAAUGUUGGAGGAGAUGUGGGGAAACUGAGACACUGAUGCAUUGUUGGUAGAAUUGUGAAAUGAUACAACCAUUCUGGAGAGAAAUUUGGAACUAUGUCCAAAGGGCUAUAAAACUGCACAGGCUUUGGCCCAGCAGUGCCAUUACUGGGCCUGUAUCCCAAAGAAAUCUUAAAAGAGGGAAAAGGAUCCACAUUGCAAUAAUUUUUGUAGCAGCUCUUUUUGUGACAGCAAAGAAUUGGGAAAUGAGUAGAUGCUGAACAAGUUGUAGUACAUGAAGGUUAUGGAAUAUUAUUGUUCUAUAAAAAAUGAUGAAUAAGCUGAUUUUAGAAAGAUCUGGAAAGAGUUGUAUGAACUGAUGCUGAUUGAAACAAGCAGAACCAAGAAUACAUUGUACACAAUAACAACAAGAAUGUGCGAUGAUCAACUAUGAAAGACUUGUUUCUUCUCAAUGGUUCAGUAAUCCAAAGCAAUCCCAACAGACUUUGAACAGAAAAUGCCAUCUGCAUCCUGAAAAAGAUCUAAGGGACUGAAUGUAAAUCAACACAUGCUAUGUUUAAUUCUUUUUUUUUUUUUUUUUUAAUCUCUCCCAUGGUUUUUCCAAACCUUUUGCUCUGAAUUUUCUCUCCAAACAUGAUUUAUAAAGUAAUGUGUAUUAAAAAUAAAUAAAUUUACUAUGAAAAUAAGAUAAAAUGAAAUAUGCCUCAGGGCCAUAUUAGUCUCCUUCUUUCAUUGGUGAGUUCCUACUGGGGUCCCCAAUUUGGAAGGGAAACUUAAGCUAGUCAAAUUUAAUCACCUCUUUUGAGGAUAUUGACUCCUCCUUCAACUGUACCUUAUUUGUUCUUCACUAUAUUUUUCAUUGUCCUGAAUUCACCACUAUGAUUUUAUUUGGAUAUUUCUCACCACCCCACCCAUUCCCUUUUCAUCUCUCUUCUGUAUAUUACUCUCCCAUUUUAGAAUAUAAGCUACAGAAGGACAGGGACUGUAUUUAUUUUUGCUUGUAUUUGCAUGUCUAAGGCUUAGCAUAUGCGUGGGUUAUAAUAAGAACUUAAAAAAUUGUUGCCCACUUGCCUGAUUAAAAACUAGUCCUUCAGGCAGGUUUUCGUCCAGUCCUCAUGCCCCUCAAAUGUAGAGGAUCAACAACAAAGAAAUGUAUCAGAGACAUUUAAAAUAAAACAGAACAAAAUACUUUACCCUUUUAAGGGGACUCUUGUGUUGGAAGCAUACAUUUAAAUUGACUCACAACCCUGAGUGUAUCAGUGGAAUAGGCCUUUCUUGGCCUAUCCUGGCCAAAUGGACAUAUUAAUAUGAUUUUCAAGAUAGAUUUCCUGGUUUUUCUGACUCGAAGCAGCUCUGUACUGGAGAUGCGGGCUGGUUUUAUCCUAUUUCAAAUAAGAUCUGAAAAAAGAAGCUGGUAUCACAGAACAAUAUCAAAAUUGUCUUUUUCAUUUUCAGCUCUAGAAGUGAGCACAAGUUCUUUGCCAUAUACCCACGUUGGACUCAUUUCUGCUGCUUGAUUAUGUGUUGAUGCUGUUCAGAUUUUUGGUUAUGUGAGAUCUGGGGGGUUCAAGGGUCAAAGGGCUCCCACUUUGAAUCAGAUACCUACAGUCUCCUUGGCUAACACUUAAUCUUCUCAUAGUACAUUUAAAAAAAUCAAAAUCACAUACACAACACACACAAAAUCACGUACAGUUCAAAGUAAUACAAAUAAACAGAUUCAAGGAAAGCAAGAAUUGCUUUUCUGGGUGGACUUAUUCUUGCUCAUUUCUUCCCUAGGAGAUAAUACCCCGUGACACUCCGUCACAUAACUACACUCAGCCUUUCACAGACGAACCAUUUAAAGAUGCAUUUCCACUCCAUUUGUUUUCUUUAUCUGCCCUUCUAAUGCGCUCCUGGAUUUUUCAACCAGGCGAAAUUUUCAUUCAGAUACCACCAAAUGAAGAACGGUAAAGAAGGCAAAUCAGCAGCAGUAACAACAGCAAAACCCAGCAAAAAUCCGUCAUCCAAGAGGUUUUGAAGGACAAGAUAGAAGAAUAUGCUUUUAUUUUUUUUCUGAAAAGAACAGUUGUUGGCAGCAAAAUGUUAACUGUUACUAAAACUUCCCUGAAGUUUCGAGGAACUGUGGAAAGAUGAAGCCUCAGGUGUUACCCUAGUGGAGUAGCUGGAAAACCAAGAGGAAAGAUCUCUAAAACGCCAUAAAGCAGAAGAUAUUUAUCUGUUAAAUUCUAGGGAGGCUGGUUGCAGAGACAAAUCACAAUAACAGGCGCUUAAACAAUUGUACCUAUGCAUUUGGGUAACAAAAGCACUAGCCACCUGUAUUGGCUGCAUUUGGACCCAAAUGCUAGCAACAGUCUACAGCAUUCAAGUGACAUUCCAGAAUGAGCCGAGCAGGGAAGCAUCAUCCCCCCCCAGGCUUUAGAAGAAUCAGACUUCCUACCUUGCAA